rnacentral:rRNA from 1 species
GAUGAACGCUGGCGGCGUGCCUAACACAUGCAAGUCGAGCGAUCUUCUUCGGAAGAGAGCGGCGGACGGGUGAGUAACGCGUGGGUAACCUGCCCUGUACACACGGAUAACAUACCGAAAGGUAUGCUAAUACGAGAUAAUAUGCUUUUAUCGCAUGGUAGAAGUAUCAAAGCUCCGGCGGUACAGGAUGGACCCGCGUCUGAUUAGCUAGUUGGUAAGGUAAUGGCUUACCAAGGCGACGAUCAGUAGCCGACCUGAGAGGGUGAUCGGCCACAUUGGAACUGAGACACGGUCCAAACUCCUACGGGAGGCAGCAGUGGGGAAUAUUGCACAAUGGGCGAAAGCCUGAUGCAGCAACGCCGCGUGAGCGAUGAAGGCCUUCGGGUCGUAAAGCUCUGUCCUCAAGGAAGAUAAUGACGGUACUUGAGGAGGAAGCCCCGGCUAACUACGUGCCAGCAGCCGCCGCGG